AAGAGCCUCCGCGCACGUCUGAGGCCAACGUCGCGACCGUCAGGAAGAGCUGGGAGGCGGCACCCUGUGUUAUCACAGGGACCAGGAGGACACGGCGGGGGACAGCGCGGCGCGGCCGCUGCUCGGUUGGCUUUCCGACUGUCGCGUGAACAGGACGCUAACUCCCGGACCACGGAGGGGCCCACGCCUCGGCUUCCCGAGUGGGAGAGGCCCGGGAAAGGCGGCGGGGCCGGGAGAGGUCAGGAGCUCCUGGAAAGAUGAGGCCAUGCUGGGGUCAGUGCCUGGAGAGCUGUGGCAGGUGACGCAAACGAGUGACAACCUGGGGAACAUCCUCGCAUAGAAUCACGUGAUUUCCACAUUACGUGUGCAAGAACCAGCCUCGCUUCCAAAAGCUCUGGCUGCACUGGACCACCAUGAGAGCUGAGAAGUAGCCGCCCCCUUGGAGGAGGUUUGUCCUUUCCAGUUGGGCACAGUCUCCACCACUCCCUAUUGUACGUCACCUCACCUGCUUUACUCAGUGUGCCACCAUUUUGUAGGGGCCAGUUAAUCAACUCCCAGUGGAAGUGCCCUUGACCACUGAUAAUCCAGGCCCCCAAACCCAGACCUGGAAUAACUCCCAGUGGUGUCAUUCUUCCCACAACGAAGAGGAUGUUUUUAUGCUAUUGAACUGGAAGGUGAUGAGUGUAAUUGUGAAGAUUUGGACUUCGGAGCCAAGCUGUCUGUGUUUGAAUGCAGACUCUGCCUGUCACUCACUAUGUGGUCUCGGGCAAGUCAUGUAACCACCCUGCGCCUCAACGUUCUCGUCUGUUAAAUGGGAUGGUCAGAGGAUUAAGUGAGUAAUAGAUGUACAGUGUGCAGAUGUGCACCUGACACACAGUGAGCGUGCGUGCUCAUUAUUAUGACGUGG
rnacentral:lncRNA from 1 species